GAUGAACGCUGGCGGCGUGCCUAAUACAUGCAAGUCGAGCGAAUGGAUUGAGAGCUUGCUCUUAUGAAGUUAGCGGCGGACGGGUGAGUAACACGUGGGUAACCUGCCCAUAAGACUGGGAUAACUCCGGGAAACCGGGGCUAAUACCGGAUAACAUUUUGAACCGCAUGGUUCGAAAUUGAAAGGCGGCUUCGGCUGUCACUUAUGGAUGGACCCGCGUCGCAUUAGCUAGUUGGUGAGGUAACGGCUCACCAAGGCAACGAUGCGUAGCCGACCUGGGAGGGUGAUCGGCCAAACUGGGCCGGAGACACGGCCCAGACUCCUACGGGAGGCAGCAGUAGGGAAUCUUCCGCAAUGGACGAAAGUCUGACGGAGCAACGCCGCGUGAGUGAUGAAGGCUUUCGGGUCGUAAAACUCUGUUGUUAGGGAAGAACAAGUGCUAGUUGAAUAAGCUGGCACCUUGAUGGUACCUAACCAGAAAGCCACGGCUAACUACGUGCCAGCCGCCGCGGUAA
rnacentral:rRNA from 1 species